GGGCCCGUAGCUCAGCCUGGUUAGAGCGCCGUUUUUAGAAGCCGGAGGUCGUGAGAGGAAUUUAUUCCCGCGAAUUCAAAUCUCAUCGGGCCCA
rnacentral:tRNA from 1 species